GGAUAGGAGGAAUCUUCAACCGCUCGAGCAAUAAACGACUGGGAAGCGAUAAAUAUCUUAACUACCCUUUAACUCCUCAUCAGGAACAAAGCUUACACGGGCUUCAAGAACGGCUAGGAGUACCUUUUGAUGAAGCACGCCUAGAUCAUCAAGAAGCUCUUCGAGAUUUAUGGAAUGCAGCAUUUCCAAAUGUUAAGCUUAAAAGUUUGAUCUCCGAGCAAUGGAAGGAUAUGGGUUGGCAAGGAGCAAAUCCAUCAACUGACUUCAGGGGUUGUGGAUUCAUUUCUCU
rnacentral:misc_RNA from 1 species